GACGAACCGUGCGAACGUUGUUCGGAAUCACUGGGCUUAAAGGGUGUGUAGGUGGCGCUGUAAGUCGGGUGUGAAAUUUCGGAGCUUAACUCCGAAACUGCAUUCGAUACUGCGGUGCUUGAGGACUGGAGAGGAGACUGGAAUUCAUGGUGUAGCAGUGAAAUGCGUAGAGAUCAUGAGGAAGACCAGUGGCGAAGGCGGGUCUCUGGACAGUUCCUGACACUGAGACACGAAGGCCAGGGGAGCAAACGGG
rnacentral:rRNA from 1 species